UACGUAGGGGGGCAAGCGUUGUCCGGAAUCAUUGGGCGUAAAGCGCGUGUAGGCGGUUCGGUAAGUCGGCUGUGAAAGUCCAGGGCUCAACCCUGGGAUGCCGGUCGAUACUGCCGGACUAGAGUUCGGAAGAGGCGAGUGGAAUUCCCCGGUGUAGCGGUGAAAUGCGCAGAUAUCGGGAGGAACACCAAUGGCGAAGGCAGCUCGCUGGGACGUUACUGACGCUGAGAGGCGAAAAGCGUGGGGGAGCAAACAGG
rnacentral:rRNA from 1 species